CAAAAAAGAAUGUUUGCUCAGGAAUACCAAAAAAGGUGAUUGGAAGACCCACUUCUAUGGCCUUAACAUCUUCCUGCUAAACAAGUUACACUCCUUAUUUUUUUGCUGCAUUCUUACUUAAUUGGUUACUUGCAUCUGCCUUUUAGAAUUAGCAGCUUUUUUGCAUUUGGAUCAUCCAUAGAGCUGAGCUCGGGCCAUUUGUUUUAGAUUUCCAGAAAUGAUUUAUUUGUACUGUAAUGGGAUGGAAUCAUACAGUGUUUCCCAUUUGUUUUCAGACUUAGUUCAGACUAUAGUUUAAGCUCUCAUAGUAUAUCUGGGAGUGCUGAUUCCACUCUCAUGUCCAAGGCCCACAAAUCUUUUCUUUCACGCUGUUUGCACCUUUCUCUCACUGCAUAAAAAUCAAGGUCCCAAGGUCAAUAUUACAUUAGGGAAAAAAGAGGAGAGAUUAUCACAGAGGCUGAAAAAUUCUGCUCCUGGCUAAAUCACUAAAGGAUAGUGUGUGUGUGUGUAAGUAAAGCUGUAAAGAGCAGGGCAAAAUGCUUCUCUCAAGUAAAUUCCCUUUCCCUCCCCUGCCUUAUAUUAUAAGUCCUGAAGGAGGCUGGGAUCUUACUUAGGCUGGGUGUUGUACAUACGUACAGCUGGAGACCCUCUCUGGAGGGGGAUAGCCGAUAAAGUUACUGGAUUCUCCUACUCUCUAGUCAUUAGGAUACUGUUUUGAGCUCUUCUUGAUUUGGUCUAUCACCACCAUUGUGAGAUACACUGGAAUAAUUGCCCAUCUGACGACAGGAAAACAUGCAAGCCCUUGGAAGUGGAACUUGCUUUAUACAUAUGAGAAUGGAGCAAGCAAUGCUUCCAAUAAAAGAAUUGUGAAACUAUUCCCAUCGGUGGCCUGUCCUCUACCCACAAUGGUGAUGGAGAAGACUGUUGGAUUUCCAUCAGGAGAACAAUUUGAGUGUGGACUCUACUGCCACAAAUUUAAGAAAGCUCUCCAGUUGCUGCUUGCCAAAGAAACAGGUGAUUUUUUUUUCCUUUUUUUUUUUUUUUUUUGAGAUAUUGACCAGUAAACAUGGGAAUCAACUUCAUCUGAAAUGCUUGUGUCUUAAUAUUUGUGUGACUUUCCUUCCUGCUCUAUGACUUGUUGAUUAUUUUUGAGUGCUCUAGGGCUUAAAGCA
rnacentral:lncRNA from 1 species